AGUGGCGCACGGGUGCGUAACGCGUGGGAAUCUACCCUUAGGUUCGGAAUAACUCAGAGAAAUUUGAGCUAAUACCGGAUAAUGUCUUUGGACCAAAGAUUUAUCGCCUUUGGAUGAGCCCGCGUAAGAUUAGCUAGUUGGUAGGGUAAAGGCCUACCAAGGCGACGAUCUUUAGCUGGUCUGAGAGGAUGAUCAGCCACACUGGGACUGAGACACGGCCCAGACUCCUACGGGAGGCAGCAGUGGGGAAUAUUGGACAAUGGGCGCAAGCCUGAUCCAGCAAUGCCGCGUGAGUGAUGAAGGCCUUCGGGUCGUAAAGCUCUUUUACCAGGGAUGAUAAUGACAGUACCUGGAGAAUAAGCUCCGGCUAACUCCGUGCCAGCAGCCGCGGUAAUACGGAGGGAGCUAGCGUUGUUCGGAAUUACUGGGCGUAAAGCGCGCGUAGGCGG
rnacentral:rRNA from 1 species